rnacentral:rRNA from 1 species
AUUUCAUUGGAGGGCAAGUCUGGUGCCAGCAGCCGCGGUAAUUCCAGCUCCAAGAGCGUAUAUUAAAGUUGUUGCAGUUAAAAAGCUCGUAGUUGAACCUUGGGUUUUGGAGGGAGGUCCACCUCACGGUGAGUACUUCCAUAUCCAAGACCUUUCCUCUGCUUCCUCGCAAGAGGCAGCAGAAUAUUACUUUGAGUAAAUGAGAGUGUUCAAAGCAGGCGCACGCUUGAAUCUGUUAGCAUGGAAUAAUAGAAUAGGACGCAUGGUUCUAUUUUGUUGGUUUCUAGGACCAUCGUAAUGAUUAAUAGGGACGGUCGGGGGCAUCAGUAUUCAGUUGUCAGAGGUGAAAUUCUUGGAUUUACUGAAGACUAACUACUGCGAAAGCAUUUGCCAAGGACGUUUUCAUUAAUCAAGAAUGAAACUCACGCCAUCGCCAGGGGAUUCCUAAUUAUUAC